CACGUAGGGUGCGAGCGUUGUCCGGAAUUAUUGGGCGUAAAGAGCUCGUAGGCGGUGUGUCGCGUCGGCCGUGAAAACCUGCAGCUUAACUGUGGGCUUGCGGUCGAUACGGGCAUCACUGGAGUUCGGCAGGGGAGACUGGAAUUCCUGGUGUAGCGGUGAAAUGCGCAGAUAUCAGGAGGAACACCGGUGGCGAAGGCGGGGUCUCUGGGCCGAUACUGACGCUGAGGAGCGAAAGCGUGGGGGAGCGAACAG
rnacentral:rRNA from 1 species